rnacentral:rRNA from 1 species
GCAAGUCGAACGGUAACAUUUCUAGCUUGCUAGAAGAUGACGAGUGGCGGACGGGUGAGUAAUGCUUGGGAACUUGCCUUUGCGAGGGGGAUAACAGUUGGAAACGACUGCUAAUACCGCAUAAUGUCUUCGGACCAAACGGGGCUUCGGCUCCGGCGCAAAGAGAGGCCCAAGUGAGAUUAGCUAGUUGGUAAGGUAACGGCUUACCAAGGCGACGAUCUCUAGCUGUUCUGAGAGGAAGAUCAGCCACACUGGGACUGAGACACGGCCCAGACUCCUACGGGAGGCAGCAGUGGGGAAUAUUGCACAAUGGGGGAAACCCUGAUGCAGCCAUGCCGCGUGUGUGAAGAAGGCCUUCGGGUUGUAAAGCACUUUCAGUUGUGAGGAAAAGUUAGUAGUUAAUACCUGCUAGCCGUGACGUUAACAACAGAAGAAGCACCGGCUAACUCCGUGCCAGCAGCCGCGGUAAUACGGAGGGUGCGAGCGUUAAUCGGAAUUACUGGGCGUAAAGCGCACGCAGGCGGUUUGUUAAGCUAGAUGUGAAAGCCCCGGGCUCAACCUGGGAUGGUCAUUUAGAACUGGCAGACUAAAGUCUUGGAGAGGGGAGUGGAAUU